UACGAGAACACUCCCUCCAUGCCCAUUUUCGGAUUUGCCUCAAAGUUUGGAACUAAAACUUAAUUUCAUCUUCCAAAUGGUGAAAUAUUGAAGUUCUAUCAUUUUGGCUCUUCAUCCACACGGCUAUACCACUAUUUGGUCCUCUAUCUUGCCUCUUGAAAGGAGCUAAGAGCUUAAGGUAAUGAUGAAAAGGAUGGGGAGCAAGACAUUACUACAGAGGGAGAGGCAGAAGCUCAGGAUCUUCCCUAACCAGAACAGUUAUGUUUAUGGAUGAUGGGUUAUGUUUUUAUGAACGUAUGGACUCUGAGAGUCUUUUAUGGAUGAAUAUUCGAAUAGAAUGUCUAUCAGGUAUUCUC